rnacentral:rRNA from 1 species
AUACGGAGGGUCCAAGCGUUAUCCGGAAUCAUUGGGUUUAAAGGGUCCGCAGGCGGUCAAUUAAGUCAGAGGUGAAAGCCCAUCGCUCAACGAUGGAACUGCCUUUGAUACUGGUUGACUUGAGUUAUACGGAAGUAGAUAGAAUAAGUAGUGUAGCGGUGAAAUGCAUAGAUAUUACUUAGAAUACCGAUUGCGAAGGCAGUCUACUACGUAUAUACUGACGCUGAGGGACGAAAGCGUAGGGAGCGAACAGGAUUAGAAACCCUAGUAGUCC